rnacentral:lncRNA from 1 species
CCGCUGAUGACUGAACAGCGAUUGAGCAGCGACCGGGGUCCUAAUUAGCGUAUGAGCCUCGUUGUACGGUCGCUUUGAUCGCAGAAGCAGCGCAUCACAUCUGCCUCAAAUCGUGGCAAGAGAGUGGCAGCGUCGUACUAUCAGCGUAUUACUAUCGCCUUCAGCGCAGGUCCGUCGCAGUGAAGUUGCAGUGCAAUCGCCUCUCAGGCUAAAAAUAGAGUUCGAGGACGAUUCUGCUACGCUUUGCGGGAUUUAGACAGAUCGCCAUGGU